GACAGAGGGUGCAAACGUUGUUCGGAAUCACUGGGCGUAAAGGGCGCGUAGGCGGGAUGGCAAGUCGGUCGUGAAAUCCUUCGGCUCAACCGAAGAACGUCGGCCGAUACUGCCGUUCUUGAGGGAUGCAGAGGAGAUUGGAAUUCCCGGUGUAGCGGUGAAAUGUGUAGAGAUCGGGAGGAACACCGGUGGCGAAGGCGGGUCUCUGGGCAUCUCCUGACGCUGAGGCGCGAAAGCGAGGGGAGCAAACGGG
rnacentral:rRNA from 1 species